rnacentral:rRNA from 1 species
GACGAACGCUGGCGGCGUGCUUAACACAUGCAAGUCGAGCGGUAAGCCCUUUCGGGGGUACACGAGCGGCGAACGGGUGAGUAACACGUGGGUGACCUGCCCUCAGCUCUGGGAUAAGCCGUGGGAAACCGGGUCUAAUACUGGAUAUGACUCCAUGACGCAUGUUGUGGGGUGGAAAGCCUUGUGCGGCUGAGGAUGGGCCCGCGGCCUAUCAGCUUGUUGGUGGGGNGAUGGCCUACCAAGGCGACGACGGGUAGCCGGCCUGAGAGGGCGACCGGCCACA